UAUAAAGCCAGAUUCCUCAUGUUCUAUGCUUCCAGUUCUCCUGCACAAGUCAUUAACACCUUUUGCCUUCACGCCUCCAGCGCCCCUUGUCUGGUGUUCAUCCUGCCAGCACAGGGACCCCCAACCCCUUGGAAGGUAAACAAGAUAAACUACAGAAAGCUGUACAGCAUAUACUGUCUCUUCUGGAAGAGAUGAAAACUGACGUGAAAGACAUGAAAAAUAGGCUUGCGCAGAUGGAGUGCCAAACCCAAGAAAAGGAGCUGACAUCUGCCACAAGGGUUACAGUUUCCCUUAAAAUCUUCAGAGGAUGUAGAAUGUCUCAAGUUGGAUUUAAAGACAGAUCCAGGAAAACGUGCACGCUUGGAAUGCUAUUUGGCGAUGAGGGGAGGCUUUAGCUUAAAGCUCGUAGUCAGGGGUAUACUGUCUGUGCUAUUUUCAGCAGAAUUAGCCCGGUGUUACAACUAUAAUGGCCUGAAGGGAAAGAAGGGGCUGAAGAACCACCCCUUUAUUUUAAGAACAGUUCAGGAUGCUGCAAGAAAAAGUUAUCCUGAUGCUACGGAAGUGGAACUGCAAAUUCAGAUUUCGAGCUGGCUGACUAGGGCGAGAGCGCGAAAAUGGGAGAAAGGAAAGACUUUUAAAGCCUGUAAAUAAUUCUGGGGUUGAGGGUGAAUUACAGGAGAAUUAAAGCUGUAAAAAUUUCAACUGAUAUUUGUCUGGAAAACUCUGACAUAAACCUGUACUGGUCAGUGCUUUACGAAUUUGUGUAAAUAAUCAUUUUUUUAAUUAACAAUUAAAUAAACAUCAGUAAACAAAAAGUUAUAUGUUUGUUUUUUGUAACAUUUUUGCAUUUUUUAUGAACGUUUUUGCUGUUUCUUAUGCAAUCAUUGCAAGACACUCAUUGUUAAUCCAUUUAUUUUGCAUUUAUAGGGUUAUGUUGAUGUAUUUGAUAUUUUUUCCAAAUCAGAAUAUACCAAAAUACCUAUUGAUAUCCUUCCUAUUACUAAUCUAAAUCACAUAUUUUUCCACGCUACCCAACAUUAACACAUUCACACUCUACACCUGUUUGUACAGUUGUAUGCCACUUAGUUCUGACAUAGAAUUGUCCUUCGCUUCAUAGAGCAGUAUUGCCUGCUUUGUGGAGCAGAAUUAUCCUUUGCUGAAUGGAACAGAAUUUCCUUUGCUGCAUGGAGGGCCUUCUUAAUGAAAAGUUAUGCAAAAACUGUUUCAAUCCUGUCACCACUAGGUUAGUUACUGUUCAGAGCAGUAAAGUGUCUAGUUGACUCGAGCAACCUGUUACCACAGAUUGAACCUUGCUUCCAGAGCAGAACAGCAACUGGGAGGCUGCUAAUUACUCAACACUAAGUUUGAUUAGUAUUAUUACUGUAUCACAUAGAUUUGUCUUGUUUUUUGCUGUUUUCAUGAAGUGUAACUUUGUCUUGCCGUGAUGUAGCCUUCAUUGCUGAAAUGGCCUAAAAUGCAACAAACUGCCUCUGUCUUGCAAACUAGUCAGGUGAUUUCAGUAAUCAUUGCAUGGAUAGGUGGAUAAGCUAGCAUUCUGUUCAUUGGUCAGAGUUUUACCAAUGGAAUUGAAGAGAGGGGAUAUUCAUAUAGAGGUGAUAUUCAUAUAGUUAAGGCUGUCUGGUGAAGAAGAAAUUUUUGUACAAAAUUGAUAUUUUGCCCACAGAUAUUUAAUCACAUACCUACAAAGUAAUGCUUCUCCUUUUAUCUGUUGUCACAUCA